CAAUAGCGUAUAUUAAAGUUGUUGCAGUUAAAAAGCUCGUAGUUGAAUUUUUGCUUGCCGCCGAUGUCGGAACUUCCGUACGUUCGGCGGCGUGCAUCCUUGGGUGGAACCUGUGUGGCAUUAGGUUGUCGUGCAGGGGAUGCUCAUCGUUUACUGUGAAAAAAUUAGAGUGUUCAAAGCAGGCUUACGCCGUUGAAUAUAUUAGCAUGGAAUAAUAAGAUAGGACCUUGGUACUAUUUUGUUGGUUUGCGCACCGAGGUAAUGAUUAACAGGGACAGUUGGGGGUAUUCGUAUUCCAUUGUCAGAGGUGAAAUUCUUGGAUUUCUGGAAGACGAACUACUGCGAAAGCAUUUACCAAGGAUGUUNUCAUUAA
rnacentral:rRNA from 1 species